CUUCAUCAGAAACAGGAGCAAGAUGAAGGGCAUCUUCGUCACUAGGCGGAAGAUGAAGAUCAGAGACGUCAGGGAAUGUCUCAUCUUCCUCAUCCUCUUUUAAGUGUGCCGACCUCAUCUUCAUCCUCGGCAGCCAAUGUGACCUCUUUUUCAUCAUCUUCAUCACUCUCAAGUUUGAAGGCUUCAUCUUCAUCAUCCUCAGCAGCAGCUGCCUCCUCCUCUUCACCGUCAUCUUCAUCCGUCUCAAGUGCAGGAGCUUCAUCUUUAUCUUCCUCAGCAGCAGCCGCCUCCUCCUCUUCACCCUCAUCUUCAUCCGUCUCAAGGGCAGGGGCCUCAUCUUCAUCCUGAGCAUCCGUCGUCUCAUCUUCAUGAUCCUCAUCAGUCUCAGCGUAAAGAUUUCCUGGAGAAAAAAAAGAAAAGUUCACAGUUAAUGUGAUGGAAAGAGGACCCGUUGCCCUACUUAAAAUAUACCAUCGUCGUCGUCAGGGGCAACAAGGCUAGCGAUGAAUUUGAGGACUGUGUGUACGGAGUUGGUGAUUCGAUCCACCAUGUCGUUGACCGCUUUGCCCGGGUCUGAGCCGAUCUUGCCAAGGCCUCCUGCAGGGUAGGUUGUCAUUAAUGUUUGAUUGACAGGCUCAAGUCAUUCCACUGCUGAGUAAGUUUUGCUUUGAACAAAA